AUACGUAGGGGGCGAGCGUUGUCCGGAUUUACUGGGCGUAAAGGGUGCGUAGGUGGCCUAGCAAGUCAGAAGUUAAAGCCCUCGGCUCAACCGAGGUAAGCUUUUGAAACUGUUAGGCUUGAGCGCAGGAGAGGAGAGUGGAAUUCCUAGUGUAGCGGUGAAAUGCGUAGAUAUUAGGAGGAACACCAGUGGCGAAGGCGACUCUCUGGACUGCAGCUGACACUGAGGCACGAAAGCGUGGGGAGCGAACAGGAUUAGAUACCCUGGUAGUCCACGCCGUAAACGAUGAGUACUAGGUGUUGGGGUCGACAGGCUUCAGUGCCGCAGUUAACACAUUAAGUACUCCGCCUGGGGAGUACGGUCGCAAGACUGAA
rnacentral:rRNA from 1 species